UACGAAGGGUGCAAACGUUGCUCGGAAUUAUUGGGCGUAAAGCGCACGUAGGCGGCUUAGCAAGUCGGAAGUGAAAUCCCUCGGCUCAACCAAGGAAGUGCUUUCGAAACUGCUGAGCUUGAGUACUUAAGAGGAUCGCGGAAUUCCCGGUGUAGAGGUGAAAUUCGUAGAUAUUCGGAGGAACACCAGUGGCGAAGGCGGCUCACUGGUCCGGUACUGACGCUGAGGUGCGAAAGCGUGGGGAGCAAACAGG
rnacentral:rRNA from 1 species